GAGAAUCCUCUCGGCCGAAUAUCCAAGGUUUCCAGAGUAAAGCUGAUCUGCUCUGGGUAAGUCGGGACCUAAGGCGAGGGCGAGAGCCGUAGCCGAUGGACAACAGGCAGAGAUUCCUGUACCGCAUAUAAACAGAACUGUGGGGACGCAUGCAGAAAGCAUAAGCCGGGAAUGGAAAGACCGGUACAAGCGGAGGAGGAGACGGGAAGGCAAAUCCGUCCGUCGAUCCAGAGCCGUUAUGUGGAGCGAAAAAAAGUAGUGAAGUAUGCAGGCUGUGUGCCGAGAAAAGCCGCUAUUGUUUUAUAUGUGCCCGUACCGUAAACCGACACAGGUGGAUGAGGAGAGAAUCCUAAGGCCGACGGAAGAAGCAUUGUUAAGGAACUCGGCAAAAUGACCCCGUAACUUCGGGAGAAGGGGUGCCACAGAAAUGUGGCCGCAGAGAAUAGGCUCAAGCAACUGUUUAGCAAAAACACAGGUCUAUGCGAAACCGAAAGGUGAGGUAUAUGGGCUGACGCCUGCCCGGUGCUGGAAGGUUAAGAGGAGAGGUUAGCGAAAGCGAAGCUUUGAAUUGAAGCCCCAGUAAACGGCGGCCGUAACGAUAACGGUCCUAAGGUAGCGAAAUUCCUUGUCGGGUAAGUUCCGACCCGCACGAAAGGCGUAAUGAUUUGAGCACUGUCUCGACAAUGCAUCCGGUGAAAUUGAAGUACCAGUGAAGAUGCUGGUUACCCGCGCCAGGACGGAAAGACCCCAUGGAGCUUUACUCCAGUCUGGUACUGGGAUUCGGUACUGCAUGUACAGGAUAGGUGGGAGGCUAUGAAGAGAGGACGCCAGUCUUCUUGGAGCCGCUGUUGGGAUACCACCCCUGCAGUAUUGGGUUUCUAACCAGCCGCCGUAAGCCGGCGGUGGGACAAUGCCAGGCGGGGAGUUUGACUGGGGCGGUCGCCUCCGAAAGGGUAUCGGAGGCGCUCAAAGGUUCCCUCAGAAUGGUCGGAAACCAUUUAGAGAGUGCAAAGGCAGAAGGGAGCUUGACUGUGACACCGACGGGUGGAGCAGGUACGAAAGUAGGACUUAGUGAUCCGGUGGUAGAAAGUGGGAUUGCCAUCGCUCAACGGAUAAAAGCUACCCUGGGAUAACAGGCUUAUCACUCCCAAGAGUUCACAUCGACGGAGUGGUUUGGCACCUCGAUGUCGGCUCAUCGCAUCCUGGGGCUGUAGCAGGUCCCAAGGGUUGGGCUGUUCGCCCAUUAAAGCGGUACGCGAGCUGGGUUCAGAACGUCGUGAGACAGUUCGGUCCCUAUCCGGCGCGGGCGUAGGAUAUCUGAGAGGAGCUGGCCUUAGUACGAGAGGACCGGGCUGGACGGACCACUGGUGUAUCUGUUGUCGACCAACGGCAUGGCAGAGUAGCCAAGUCCGGAAGGGAUAAACGCUGAAGGCAUCUAAGCGUGAAGCCCCCCCCAAGAUGAGAUAUCCCAUCCAAAAGGAAGUAAGACCCCUGAGAGACGAUCAGGUAGAUAGGGCAGAGGUGGAAGUGCAGCAAUGUAUGGAGCUGACUGUUACUAAUCGGUCGAGGGCUUGACC
rnacentral:rRNA from 1 species